rnacentral:rRNA from 1 species
CGACUGCGACCCCAGGUCA